GAGUAAAGUGUGAACAGACAUUGCGUUUAAUAGGAAACAACAGUAAUUCAGAUGGGCGUUUAGAGGUUUUCCAUGAUGGUAUUUGGAAGAACGUAUGCGGUGACAAAUUCGAUAAAAUGGAUGCACAAGUUGUUUGUCGACAGUUAGGAUUUCUGGACCCUCAACGACUUGAUUCGGUUGAUAUUUAUGUUAGCGGUAAUAAUUCAUGGAUUAUAAACAACGGUGAUUACUGGUUAGAUGAUUUGGGUUGUCAAGGAUAUGAAAGUUGGAUUGAAGACUGUGGUCAAUUAAUAUGGGGUCAAACUAACUGUGGUAGUGGUAAUGCAGUUGGGGUAAAGUGCGCCGACACUGAGCUGAGGGUAAGAAUGAAUACGGAACAUUUUGUGGAAAUAUAUUACAAUGAAGUAUGGCAUGGUGUUUGUGCAGACGAUUAUAAUGAAGAAUUUGGGAUGGUUGUUUGUCAUUAUCUUGGAUAUAC